GAUCCUGGCUCAGGAUGAACGCUGGCGGCGUGCUUAACACAUGCAAGUCGAACGAAGCACUUUAUUACGAUUUCUUCGGAAUGACGAUUUAGUGACUGAGUGGCGGACGGGUGAGUAACGCGUGGGUAACCUGCCUUAUACAGGGGGAUAACAGUUAGAAAUGACUGCUAAUACCGCAUAAGCGCACAGGAUUGCAUGAUCUGGUGUGAAAAACUCCGGUGGUAUAAGAUGGACCCGNGU
rnacentral:rRNA from 1 species